UGCGCAGGCGGGGAUGUAAGUCAGUGGUGAAAUACUGCCGCUCAACGGUAGAACUGCCAUUGAUACUGCAUCUCUUGAGUAUGGUUGAGGUAGGCGGAAUGUGUUGUGUAGCGGUGAAAUGCAUAGAUAUGACACAGAACGCCAAUUGCGAAGGCAGCUUACUAAACCAUUACUGACGCUGAGGCACGAAAGCGUGGGGAGCGAACAGGAUUAGAUACCCGGUAGUCC
rnacentral:rRNA from 1 species